UACGGAGGGUGCGAGCGUUGUCCGGAAUCACUGGGCGUAAAGGGCGCGUAGGCGGCUCGUGAAGUCAGUGGUGAAAGCCCAGGCUCAACUCUGGGUCGGCCACUGAUACUCGCGAGCUCGAGUUUGGUAGAGGCAGAUGGAAUUCCGGGUGUAGCGGUGGAAUGCGUAGAGAUUGGAAAGAACACCGAUGGCGAAGGCACUUUACUGGGCUAUUACUAACACUCAGAGACGAAAGCUAGGGUAGCAAAUGGG
rnacentral:rRNA from 1 species